ACUGCAGAGACUUUAUAGAGGAGGUGGCUGGUGUCUCUGCAAGUUAAAGGCUGUCUUCUCUGAAUUCUUGCCUGGAAGGGAUUUGAUGAAUGGAUGUGAAAAUAUGUCAUGAAGCUGAAAUUUACAGAAAAGGAGAAGCUACUGUGGGGAAGGGAACAAGGCAUCAAAGUGACACACAAGCACCAUCCCCGCCUGUCCCGAAGAUGAGAGAGAGGUCCCAGGUGCAAGUGCUACGUGGUCUUCGACAUGCAGCCCAGAUUCAGCAUCUCCACGCACACCCUCGGCGGCAUGGAUUUCUCAGAGCCCCGGACUCGCUCACCUUGGACUCGCACUGCACCGGCUGGCGGCUCUUCUCCCUCCCCCCCCCAAGAAUGGGAGGAGCUCCGAGGCAGGAGAGGACCCAGCCCGCCCACCUGGCUCUUAUCUCCAGUAUCCACUCCGAUUGUGGAUCUUUGACCUUCACCCUGGUGAGCACGGGGUGCGGGGUGCUUGGGGGGAGGGGCGGGCAGGGGGGUGGGGCUGUGCUGCUUGACAUGGCAUCGUAGUAACACUGUAAGACGCCUUUCACAUCAAAUGCCUCAGUGUGUGCUGUCAAGUCAGGUGGUCUUCGAAUGGGUGUGGCCAAGCACGCAGAGGGGUCAGGACCUCAGCCAAGCCUUGCAGAGGUGGGCAGCCGAGCCCUGGUUGGCUUGGCUGGGAAGAAGCCUGCCUGGGCCCCUAAUGGCUUCGGGCGUGCACGGCCCAGUUGGUGUCCCACAAAAUGAGAUUCUUCUGUGCCUGAAGUGUUUCCUCUGUGCCCUCGGUGGCCCAGUCCCUCUGCAGUGGGCUUGCAUCUUACAUGGGCUUCAGAGUCAUCCGAUAAGGUGAAGGGAUUCAAAACUGUCUUUGAACAAUCUCAGAUGCUACCAUAAAACUCUUGUGUGUGUAAAAUCCUGGGCCAAAUCAUGUGGCAUAAACGUCUCCCAUAGGAAGUAAUGCCCCGCGUGUGAUGCGGGGGAAGGCGUACCUGGGCGGAUAGCACGUCACAGUAUUCUCCAUCCAGCCUGCCCCAGAGGGAACCAUCUCUCGACUCGGGAAUUACGCUCUCAGGGUCACCGUGCCAGGUGCCUAGGACUGUCCUGGUUCUCGUGCUCUAAGUUCUGGGUCUCAGGAACCCCCCAGAUCUCUGGCAAAGAGUUGGCCAUCCCACGUCAGCACUGAAAGUCACUCACACGGUCAGAGGCCUGUGGCAGCUGAGGGCUUUGGGUGUCCCUGGUGGGCCGGAUCGGCCGGCCACUCCUUCCCUGUUUCUCUUUCCACCCUCCUCCCCACACUGCGUGUAGUUGAAUCUGCAGCACCUACAGAACACAUCCUCGAGACAUAACCUCUAGGUUCGACUGGAAAAGCAGCAAAAACACGGGCUUUUCUAAUUUGAGAAUUGACAUCACCUGCGUGGCAGAAGUCUGUGUGUAUGUGUGAAUGAGUGGGGAGAGGUGGAGAUGUGUGUGUGUGUGUGUGUGUGUGUGUGCAGUUGUGUCUGAGUAUGUGUAGGUGUGAGUGGGGGGCUGUGUGUGUGUGUGCAGGUGUGGGUGUGCCAGGGCAGAGCCUGGUAAACCAAGCAGCAGCUUCUGGAAGGUGUCACCAAUCCCCUUGCUUACGAGGCUCAUUCUACAAUUGCCCCUGAAAGAAGUGGACGCUUCCUGGCUGGGGUCGCUCCUUGAGGUGGGACAUCUUAGAGCAGCAGUCAGCCAGUGCCAGGGGCACGUCUCUUUGUCAGAUCUUGGAUGGGCAGGGCACAGGUGACGGACAGCUGACAGUAAGUAUUUGCUUGGCAUUUAUACCCUUAAUGUGGUGGUGGUAUCAGUGCUCUCUUGUCAAACCCAUGCCUUUUCCUUUGUGUCAGAGUUGUGUGGACAGAAGGCCCCUUGGAAAGGUGUCUUCUCCCUCAUCCCCUGUCUGGAAUUGUCUAGAACUAAUUGGCUGAUGGCAAGAGGGUUUUGACAGGGGAGCAACUUCUAGUUCUGCCAAAGGGCUUUUGUAGGAGAGGACCAAGCCCCUGCCAUUGAUGAGGGAGACUGAAGCGGAUGCACUCAUGGAUGAUUCUUUCUCUGAUGUUCCCAGGGCUGAUGAAGGGGGUUUAAGCAACGCAAGGAAUCCGGAGGCUCCUGGGGCCCUCAAAGUGGGCGAGAUAGGACCAGUGCAGUAGCCAGAGUCAGGGCUGAGUGAGCCAGGCAGGCCCGAGAGUGCUCACCUCGCAGCUGAGUUGUCCUCUGGAAGGAAAUAGAACACUGCCGCCAGGCUUCAGCCUGGCCCUGAGCCUGCACAUCGGCCCAUCUUCUCCUCUUUUCUCUGAGAAAAAGGCUCUGAGAUGGUCCCUGUCAUCUGCAUUCUUACAUCAGAGAGAGCAAUAGCCUGGCAGUCUAAUUAGGGUGUGUGAGUGGUGUGUGUGUGUGUGCAUUUUGCUUUUGGCUGGUUUAUAUGCAAUUAAGCAUUUUCUCAUUUUUCUGAGAAACACAGGAGAAGCAUUGAAAAGCCUCCUUCUGUGCCUGGAUCAGGCGUGGGGCGGGACAUUAACGGAGACAGGCUGCAGGUCUUCCCAGAGGAACGGUGCUUCGCAGCCACAUUUGUUUCUGGUGUCAAGGGCAGAAAGAAGCAGUGGGAUCUCUCUGGCUCCAAGCCCUGUGUUCUCUUUUGGGCCACCUCGAGCUUCAGCUGUGGUUAGACGGCUUCUGUAAAGCACUGCUCACAAAUUCCCAAGUUUCCAUAUGUCACCCUGUUUCCUCGGGCCCCCCUCAUGCAAAACCUGUCCAAAGAUCUCCCCAGACCCGCGGCUCCCUGGAAGCAUCUCAGCUCGGCACCUAACGUGGAUUCCAAUUAGCUGUGUGUUUGGCGGUUUCCUUGCUGCAUGCCUGCCUGCUUUCUACACUCAAGCCCAGAGAGAGAGGACGGUAGCAGUUUUGCUCAGCCUUGUAACUCAGGACCCAACCCGAGGCCCGGCUUCGCGUAUGUGGGCUGUAGACGUUCAGCUAAUAAAUAAUCGUGCUUUCCCUCAAGGUUAUUGCCUUGUCACGGGGAGGCUGGCAGAGCUUGUGAAAUGCUGGUCCCCAGGUGUGACGGAAUAUUAAACAGAAGACACAAGACUCCUGUUUUGGUUUUGGAGAGGAUGCAUUGGAACCGGUGAUGUUUUGUGCAUUCCCUCUUGGUCUCGGUUAAUGAGCUUAGACUAUGAGGUAGAAGAUUCUGGAUGCUGUUUGUCUUUCAGGGCUUUCCAAUGAGACCCCAAAGGAGGAGGUUCUGGGCACAGAGAAGGAAGGGAAGGCUCGGUGGCAGAAUUUUUUGGCAUAUGGAGAGCAGGUUGGCCCCAAAGAGAUCUUUCUGGGCUCAUUAAAGAUAAUUUGCUCCCAGGCCCUGUGGCUGUCCCUUCUGAAGGAGGAGAGCGACAGACAGAUGAACAUCUGGAGAAAUUAGAGGCCUUGGAAUUAAGCAGAUGAGCAUCGGAAAGCAAGUGGCUCUGCACUGCCCAGGGAGGAGUGAGGCCAGCAGAGGUCACGUCUGUGCUGCUCCCGCACCGCGUUCACUUGCCAGGAAGGCCCUCUUUGCCCGGGCGGGAGACGGACGCCAUUGCCCUGGCCUCCUGCAAUCCCGGCCACAAAGAGCCCUGCUCAUGAGCAGCGUGCACAGGCUCUGCCGGGGGCGCCUCGUGCUUUGCUGGCCCCCAAGGCGGCGCUCGCUACCUCGUUGGCUGCCUGCUGGCAAGGGCUCACGGCUUCUAGGCAAGCGGAGCCUAAGACUGUGGUCUCACGCUGUCUGCGGUGGUCGCUGCAGGCCCAUCGGAUGGUGGAAUACAUUGAAAUGUGAGGCCCUUAAGCCCAAACUUGUCUCUCAUCCCUCAAAAAGAGAACCGGCAAAGCGACCUGGGAAACGGCCCUCCUCCUGCUCUAAUGCAGGGAUUCCUGGGGACCGCGGUGCACGCCUGUGCUGACAAGUGAUUCACCACAUGGGUGCUUUUCCAGCCUGGCUUUGUCUUUAUGCUCCAACAGCGUCCAACUGUACGGUUUAGUAACGAGGCACUGAUGUGGAUUCGGAGGCCUCCGUGGGGAUGGAUGAUUAGGCCGAUUGAUGAUUUGGGACGUUUCUCACCUGGGGGGAGGUUGUACCCCUGUUAGAGCUGGAUCAGGUACUUCUGGAGGGCCCGUGAUUCAUGUUUAUAUCAGAAGAAUUGGAUUGGGGCGUGCUGAGCUCAGGGAGCGCGAGAAGCAAGAAGGAAGAGGAGCUGAUGUUUUUGUGGUCCAGUGAAGGUCAGAUGGUGUCCGAGGUGUUUUAGGACAAUGUGCUUCGUUUAGGCUGUGACUGACCCUGGUCUGUUGGGAGCCCUGCCUCCAUCUGCCUGGCAUGAGAGCAGGAGGCGGAGUCUGCCCAAAAAAUGAGUUUUGAGACGAUUAGAGUGUCCGUGAUUGGGGAAACAUGCUCAGCUCUGAAACGACUCCAGAAGUCAGAAUUCAAUGUGCAGACUCGGCCAUGACGCUCACCAGCUACACAGACCCCUCCCUGGCUUGUGGUCACGGGCUCUGCAGCUGGGUUGCAGCUGCAAUGAGAGAAAAGACACCUAGUGUUUCUCUUCCUCCAGAGCAGUGGCUCUCAAACCAGCCGGCAUCAGAACCACAGAUGGCCAGGCCCAGCACCCCGAGUUUCUGAUCAGUAGGGCUGGGCUGGGGCUGCAUUUCUAACAAGCUCCCAGGUGAUGCUGAGGCUGUUGGUCCAGGGACCACACUUACAACCUCUCCUCUGGAGCACCUGCCGGGAGGAGGUCCCGCUCAGUGUCUGCAAAGGGCCGGGCUUCCUGGGGAGGGGCUGCUCCCGUCAGAGCUGGAUGGUGGAAUCCUUCAAGCUGUCCCUCCCCGCCACGCCCCCUUUGCUGUCCUUUGGAACGGAACAUGCUGCCUUGUGCAGGGACGACAGCCGAUAAUCUCCUUCUGAUGCUUUAUAAUUCAGUCCUCUCAGCGCUUUGCAAAAGCUUUUUUAUUUCUCUUUCAUUAAAAAAAGAAAAAAAA
rnacentral:lncRNA from 1 species